rnacentral:misc_RNA from 1 species
UUUCCGUAGGUGAACCUGCGGAAGGAUCAUUAAUAAAUUUUUUUUUUGAAAUAAAAAAAAAAAUAAUAAUCAUCCUACCCUUUGUGAAUUUGUUUUGUUGAAUAAUUUUUUAAAAUUAUUUAUUGUCUAUCCAAGUUGGAAAGUUAUAAAAAGACUAGAAGACUUGGGGCGGCAUAAAUAAGUUUAAAGACUUUUUUCUAAAAUUAAACUUUUUGUAUUCAUUUGUCUAAGAUAAUUUUUAUAAUAUAUAAAAACAACUUUUGACAAUGGAUCUCUUGGUUCUCGCAACGAUGAAGAACGCAGCAAAAUGCGAUAAGUAAUGUGAAUUGCAGAAUACGUGAAUCAUCGAAUCUUCGAACGCAUAUUGCACUUUUUUAGUUUACUAAAAAAGUAUGUCUGUUUGAGUAUCAGUAAAAUAUUCUCAUAAAAUUUUUAAUUUUAUGGUUAUGAGUGUUUUACAACGAUAAACAAGUUGUUUCACUUUAAAUUGAAUUUUUGAAGAAAUUCUUAAUUCAAAUUAAAUUUGGAUAAAAUUUUCCCGUAAAAAGGAAUAACUAUACAAGUUUAAUAAGAAUUUAGUGAUUUCUUUUAUGAAAGGAAAUUUAUUAAAUAACUUGAUCUCAAAUCAGAUAAGAGUACCCGCUGAACUUAAGCAUAUCAAUAAGCGGAGGAAAGGAGACUAACAAGGAUUCCCCUAGUAACGGCGAGUGAAGCGGGAAGAGCUCAAAUUUGAAAUCUUAAAGGGUUUCCCUUUACGAAUUGUAGUUUAAAGAAGUGUUUUCUGUUGAGGUUUUGGUAAAAGUUCUUUGGAAUAGGGCAUCAUAGAGGGUGAGAAUCCCGUAUUUGACCUUUACUUUCAACUUUGUGAUACACUUUCAAAGAGUCGGAUUGUUUGGGAAUGCAGUCCAAAAUGGGUGGUAAAUUUCAUCUAAAGCUAAAUAUUGGCGAGAGACCGAUAGCGAACAAGUACCGUGAGGGAAAGAUGAAAAGAACUUUGAAAAGAGAGUUAAACAGUACGUGAAAUUGUCAAAAGGGAAGCGUUUGACACCAGUGUUGUUUUUCUGAAAAUCAAUUAAAGAACUGUUUAUGCUAAGCUGUUUAGACUUUAUCAGCUAUCUGUUUAGUUUUGAGCUUUUCUUUAAUGCACUUUUCAGUUAACAAGUCAACAUCAAUUUCUUUUGCUGUAAAAAAGCUUGAGGAAGGUGGCUUGAGAUUCGUCUUAAGUGUUUAUAGCCUCUUGCCUAUGCAGUCGGAGAGAUUGAGGUCUGCAGCGUAGAUCCUUCGGGGCUAAAUGCAUUUGUGCUAAGUUAUAGCAUUUUAUAGACAACUUGUUGACUAUGAUUUGUCUUGUAGCUUACUCGCUUAUGUCAUUU